CCCCUAGUAACGGCGAGCGAAGCGGGAAGAGCUCAAAUUUGAAAGCUGGCACCUCCGGUGUCCGCGUUGUAAUCUCGAGACGUGUUUUCCGUGCGGCUCUAUGGACAAGUCCCUUGGAAUAGGGCAUCGUAGAGGGUGAGAAUCCCGUACUUGCCAUGGAAGAACCGUGCUUUGCGAUACACGCUCUAAGAGUCGAGUUGUUUGGGAUUGCAGCUCAAAAUGGGUGGUAGACUCCAUCUAAAGCUAAAUAUCGGGGAGAGACCGAUAGCGAACAAGUACCGUGAGGGAAAGAUGAAAAGCACUUUGGAAAGAGAGUUAAAAGUACGUGAAAUUGUCGAAAGGGAAGCACUUGAAGUCAGCCAUGCUGCUUGAGACUCAGCCUGGCCUUUGGGCUUGGUGUAUUUCUCGGUGGCAAGCCAGCAUUGGUUUGGGUCGUCGGAGAAGCGCAUAGGGAAUGUAGCGUCUCCGGACGUGUUAUAGCCUUAUGCAGGAUACGACGACCUGGAUCAAGGAACGCAGUGUGCCCUCUGGGCGGGUCUUCGGGACACCUUCACACUUAG
rnacentral:rRNA from 1 species